rnacentral:rRNA from 1 species
AACGAACGUUAGCGGCGCGCUUAACACAUGCAAGUCGAACGAGAAAGGGCUUCGGCCCCGGUACAGUGGCGCACGGGUGAGUAACACGUGGUAAUCUACCUCGAGCGGGGAUAACGUUCCGAAAGGAGCGCUAAUACCGCAUAAGACCACGCUCUCGAAAGGGAGCGAGGUAAAAGUAGGCCUCUGAAUUCACGCUUACACUCGAGGAUGAGCCCGCGGCCCAUCAUGGUAGUUGGUAGGGUAAUGGCCUACCAAGCCGAAGACGGGUAGCUGGUCUUAGAGGAUGAUCAGCCACACUGGAACUGAGACACGGUCCAGACUCCUACGGGAGGCAGCAGUGGGGAAUCUUGCGCAAUGGGCGAAAGCCUGACGCAGCGACGCCGCGUGGGUGAUGAAGGCCUUCGGGUCGUAAAGCUCUGUGGGGAGAGACGAAUAAGACGUGGCUAAUAUCCACGGCGAUGACGGUAUCUCCUUAGCAAGCACCGGCUAACUCUGUG